rnacentral:lncRNA from 1 species
GGCAUUCCUCAUUAUGCUAUACGGCAUUGCAGAGUCUUCUGAAAAAAUGCUUAAACUUCUUAAAGAUUUCUCUUUUAUACAUGUGAGUAAAGAUGUGGUGUGUGGUGUAUGACAUCUAGAAAGACAAAGGAAGUCCCCAAAAAAAUCUAUCUUUUGAAAUGUUGCACAUGGAUAAUUUUUUGAUAACCGCGGAUGAUUAUAUGGAUAUACCUGGGUUCCUAUGUUGAAAAGAAAAUUUCUGGAGCAGUCCUUGAUGCACAAUUUUAUUGCAUAUGCUGUGAAGUAACAUAAUGCAGUAAUAAAAAUAAUAAGAACAAAGAAUGGACUAGCUUUGCGACCACUCUCUUCCGAUUCUUCCCGAGGGUAAAAGUUUUAUUGAACAACAUAUGCAGUAUGCUAUAGCUUUACGAUUUCUUUUAUUUUUUCGUUUGAAGAGGCCAAAAGGCAAAAGUUUUAUUGGACAACUUAGGCACAGGUAAUGUCUAUUCUAUAGCAUACUGCAUAUGUUGUUCAAAACCAUAACUGAUUCCAAUGCAUUCCCAAUAUAAGUUUUUUUUUUUUUGGAGAGAAAUUAACAACAAAUAACUAAAACUAAUAAGAAAGCAAAACAUGGGUAUAAUCAUUCCCUAUAACAUUCCCGGGAAUACAUGGCUAGGGAAUGAUUAUACCCAUGUUUGUUAUGAGGUUGAGAAAAAAAUAUUCCUAGGUAUAAGGGUUCUUGGGAAUAGAGUAACUUCCCAUAACUUCCAUUAUUCCCAUAAAUUUAUUCUCAGAUUUAAAAAAAAAAAUUGUAACUUCCAAUUUUUUCAGGAAUGUCAAGUUAUUUGCCAAACACUUUUUUUAACAAAUACCCAAGAAUCAAAUUUUCAUAUUUUCAUUCCCGGGUAUGUUAUUCCUAGGAAUAAUUUGUGUUUCCCAAAAACAAACGCCAAAUUGAGACAAUCAAUUAAGUUAAGGGACCGAGUGAUUGAAUAAGCCAAAAAAAUAUGAAUUCUACAUACGAGUUUACUUUAAAGAAGGGACCAAAAGUGAAGAUGGAAAAUUUUGUAGGACUAGAAGUUGAAGAAAUUUUUUAGAGGGACUAAAACGAAAAGUUGACAUAUUUAUAGAAACAAAAAACAUAUUUAACCCUAAUUUAAAAAAAAGAGUUAAAGUAGUGUGAGAGUGAGAAGUUAUGAGUGGUUACCUCUUAUUCCCAUGAGAAUAAAAGAUUCUCAUACUUUAACAUGGGAAUAACAAGUGGAAAAGUCAUGUGUAAAUUUUAUUCCUGGGAAUAAAACGUACGUAGGCAUAAUUUAUGAAAACUUGAAAUAAACAUGGGAACCAAGGAUUUUCAAUGUCACAUUUCUGGGAAUAAAUUUGCAAUCCAUCAAACAAACACCCCUUUAAAAUAUGAAAGCCUAGAAAGUAAACAGUGAGAUUACUUAGUCUUCUCGAGGGUGAACAACCUUUUAGCCCUAUAUUCGUUGGAGCUUUAUUUUGGUAUAUGGUUUUAACGUAACUCAUGCAUCCUCUUGAUAUCUUUUAAAUAAAAUUUUAUCAUUCACAAUAUCAUAACAAUCUAUGUAAAAAAUUUAUAAUUUCUUUUUAAUAAAAAAUAAAUUAAAUAUAAAUUUUUAAACACUAAGAAUUUAUAAAUUCAUAUUUAAUUCAUUCCUUGUUAAAAGAGAAUUAAACUUCCACAAUAUAAAUUUUUACAAUGUGCUGUUGAAAAAAAUAAUUCAAUUUUUUUUAUAGAAAUAAUGAGUUUAUUUAUUUAAAAACAACAUCAACCAAAAGUUCGAGAAACCUCUUUCUCUCUCCAACAAGCCGGCCCUAGUUUUUUCUCUCUAGGUUUUCUCUUCUAGUUUCUUUAUUGAGGGGUGAUUUUGGGUUGAUUUUUGACCUGAAAUAACUCAUCAUCAUCUUUUUAUAGUCUAUUUCAAUCUAAAUAAGUGAUUUUCACAUAGAUCUAGGUUUUUUUCUUCGUGAUUUCGUCAUGAGUGUGGUGGUGUGUUGUUCGUCGUCUUGUGCGGCGUAGUUUGAUUUCCCGUCUUGUUGCGGUGUUUAUUUGAUUCAUAUUGAAAGAUUCGAUUAUUCAAUCAAAGAAUUGGGCGUCAACGUUGCAGAUCUGGAGCAUGGGUAUUGUUAUAUGCUAUUAAAUGGGGUGUUGUGAGUUUGUUCGCAAAUUCAUUCUUUAUUUUUUUAGCGGCGUUGAAUGGUGUACUCCAUCGAUUUUAAUGAAUAAAUAUCGUUUUGUUUUUGUAAAAAAAAAUCCGAGAAACAUUUGGAUCAAAACAAUGAAAAAAAUUAUAGGAUUUGAGAUAUUUAUUAUAUGAGCAAUGCUAUAUAUCAAGAAAGAUUUUAUCAAGAAAAUUUCAAGAAUGAAAUGGCAGAAUAAUCACCCUUAGAUUUUAUCAAGAAAUAAUCAUGAAAUUAAUGUUAAUCAAUAAAAUCUCAGUCUGGCCGGAAAUCAUGGAGUGGUGGGUGUUAUGUAUUUUUUUUUUAUGAAAGAUUAAUAAAUGAGACUGAAAUCUAAAGGUGAUUAUUGUGCUAUGUCAUUUUUGAAUCUUUCUUAUAAAAUCAUUCUUGAUAUCUAACAUUUUCCUUAUUAUAUUUAAAAGCUAGGACACAUUUUGACAAAGAAGAAUGUGCCCUAGAUAUUUUUUUUUUUUUGGGUAAAUCUUCUUUGGCACAUUUUCCUUAUUAUAUUUAAAAUCAUGGGAGUGAAUGAAUGAGUUGGGUGAGAGAGCGAGUCCGUAACAAUGGCGGCAGCAACAACAAAAAAAGAAGUGAGUUCAGAUUUACCAGAGGAGUUAUGGGAACACAUCUUCAAAUUCCUCAACGACAACAAAAGCCACUACUUCAAAUCUCUCUCGCUAGUCUCCAAACAUUUUCUCUCCAUCUCCAACUGUCUCCUACGUGACCUAAAAGUCUAUGAUCAUACCCUCCAUCACCUCUUCCAAAGGUUCCCUAACCUCACAUCCCUCGAUCUUAGCAUCGUCUCCAAAAGAGUUGACUUCUACACAAUUCUUACCCAAAUCUCCACUUUCCCUUUUACCGAAUGAAUCUUAUGUGCAGGACUAAAAUCUUCUUUAUUGUUGAUUGUUUCCCUUUACUCGAAGAACUCAACCUCACUUAUCCCGAUUCGGCUAUGGUCUUUGAUUUUGCGCGAGAUGAUGAUAUUGAUCGAUUGUUGGAACUUUCCAAACUCUACAAGAUUAUCAUUUCUCGUAUUAUUGCAUCUAUCGCGAAUCUAUUAACCAUAUCUACAAGAUUUCCAGAGAAGAAUAACUUAGAUGAUAAUGAUAGUUACUUAAAAUUGUAAACGUGUCAAUUAUUGCAGUAUUUUAAUUUCGAGUUUGUUUUUGUCUAUUUACAAAUUUUGGUGGUUCACUUGUUUAAACACUUAGCAUAAUGUAUUGUUAUGGACAUAAGAAUGAGAAUUUGGGCUUCAACCUAUGAAGCACGGAUACUCCUUGAAUUAGGCGUGUCCUGAUGUCGGACACGCGGCAUGGCACCGACACGUGUAAUUACACCGAAUUAUGUGAUUUUUUUCCUUCAAAUUAUUGGUGAU